ACACCAUUGUAAUGAUUUAAAAAAAAAAAAAAAAAAAAUAGAAUAUUCGAGAUAUAGUGGCAUUAUUUUUCAGUUCCAUCACAAAUAUAUUGAAAGCACUGUUACAAAACCAUAUCUAGAGGAGAUGAAAUAAGCUAUCAUGUAAUAUACUAUGAUAGGAUAAUAAAAUUAAAACCACAGUACAAUUUCUUAAGUUUAUUAAACUCAGUUAUUUAAUUAAGGCAGUAUCUCGCAUCCUCGUUCUGAAUUAUAGAAAGAGACGAAAAAAGUUUAAACCCAAAAUCUGAUUCUAUUACUUAAUUUGAAUUUCCAUGAAAAUGAAAGCAAAAAUCCUUCCAGGAAGUAAAAGAUAUUGCGAGUAGAAACACAAGUGUAACAGAGUUGAGGUUCCACCAAAUAAAAAAGGAAGAAGUUAAUUACCAUUAUGGCGAGAAUCGAAGACGCAAAUUGGAGCAUGAGGAAACAUUAUAGAGAACUUAAAUCCCAUCUCAUAUUUGCAUCUGCUUGUAUGCCUGCAACUCCAUUUAAUAAGCCAUGGGAACUCCGCCAUCACCGUAUAAGCAGCAAAAUACAAGGAUAUUAACCUCUAUGGAGUCAAAGUCACCCUGAUAUAUCCCCACACCAUUGUACUGAAAAUAAGCAGUUACUCUAUUAAAAUUAAAUAUUGAAAGACAGAAAAGAGAAAAAAAAAAUAAAAAUGACUUUAUUACAAAGAAACGAACCAAAAAACAAAUGGUUGCUAAACUUUCAAGAGGGUCAGCUUCUCUCCCAUUUCUCGCUCUAUUUUCUUGAUGCAUGAAAUGAAAUUCAUAGCGCCCUAUUUAUAUGGUUUGUAUUACCAUUUAAUUCCUGUUCCCUUACUAUAAAUGGAAAACAAUGUAUGAUUCGAUUCCUCCCCCUUACUACAAAUGUAAAAACAAAGUGCUUAAACGAGUGAAUUUAAUAGGUGGAUGUGUUGGUCAGAUUCGUUGCCCUUCCAUUUCUCAGCAAUUUCCCCCUUCCAAACCACUUCAAAUUUGUUUUAUGUACACA
rnacentral:lncRNA from 1 species